rnacentral:rRNA from 1 species
GUGGGGAAUAUUGGACAAUGGGGGGAACCCUGAUCCAGCCAUGCCGCGUGUGUGAAGAAGGCCUUUUGGUUGUAAAGCACUUUAAGCGAGGAGGAGGCUACCGAGAUUAAUACUCUUGGAUAGUGGACGUUACUCGCAGAAUAAGCACCGGCUAACUCUGUGCCAGCAGCCGCGGUAAUACAGAGGGUGCAAGCGUUAAUCGGAUUUACUGGGCGUAAAGCGCCCGUAGGUGGUUAAUUAAGUCAAAUGUGAAAUCCCCGAGCUUAACUUGGGAAUUGCAUUCGAUACUGGUUGGCUAGAGUAUGGGAGAGGAUGGUAGAAUUCCAGGUGUAGCGGUGAAAUGCGUAGAGAUCUGGAGGAAUACCGAUGGCGAAGGCAGCCAUCUGGCCUAAUACUGACACUGAGGUGCGAAAGCAUGGGGAGCAAACAGGAUUAGAUACCCCUGUAGUCC